CACGUAGGGCGCGAGCGUUUGUCCGGAAUUAUUGGGCGUAAAGAGCUCGUAGGCGGUUUGUCGCGUCUGCCGUGAGAGUCCGGGGCUCAACUCCGGAUCUGCGGUGGGUACGGGCAGACUAGAGUGAUGUAGGGGAGACUGGAAUUCCUGGUGUAGCGGUGAAAUGCGCAGAUAUCAGGAGGAACACCGGUGGCGAAGGCGGGUCUCUGGGGCCGAUAUUUGAC
rnacentral:rRNA from 1 species